rnacentral:pre_miRNA from 1 species
GUUAUAUUACCUCCGUCCCGAAUUACUUGUUUUAGAUUUGUCUAGAUACGAAUGUAUGUAGACACGUAUCUAGACAAAUCUAAGACAAGUAAUUUGGGAUGGAGGGAGUAUAUA